CCUCGUGUAGCAAGUGGUUCAGAGCUCUAUAGGUUAGUUUUUGAAUGAUAAAAUUCGAUUUUUAUUUUUUUUUUUAGAUUUUUGGAGUAAGUAUGAGUGCGUGGUGAGCUUAUAUAACUUUAGAAAUGAGGACUUAAGUUGGGGUGAGAAUCUCAAAUUUUUUAAAAAAAAAGCGAAACAUUUGGUUCUCCAUUUUUUCUUGGUCACCUAUCUGGUACUUUCAGCAUUCUUCCUAUUGUUGUUCAUUUAGGACAGAACAUUUUGUGCAUCGAUUCUUUCGAUGUUUCGAUGCAUGGUAUUCGUGAUAUUAAUAUUUCUGCUCUGAUUUUAAGUGUUUGGCUUUUUGCGCACUUAUGUACUUCAACAGGGAGAAAAUUCUUUGGUCUGGUGAUAAUUGUGCUCGUUUUGCCUUUUUCAUUGUAGUUGCCAAGUAGGAACUUGCGUCUGGGUGCAAGUUUUUUCCAAAGAUUGAAGGAUCUUUAAAAUCAACUUGAUAUGAAUAAAACUGAUACUUCUUCCCCAAUUUCUCUUCCGUCCGUCUAAUACUUCUCCUUCCAUCUCUCCCUCUUCUCUUUUCCCACUCUUUUCUCUUCUCUUCUGUUCUUCUUUUCACUUCCCCUUCUCCUAUAAUUCUACUAUCUUGUUUUAUUGCAUCCUACAUCACUUAAGCUUUUGUGGGGCUAACAGUUGCAUAAUUUUUUCAGGUUAUACUUGAGUGCUGAUGAAAAUUAAUUUACUGUGAGAAGCCUGAUUUUUUGUGAGAAAAAAAAAGAAUAGUCCCUUAGUUCCUCUGAGCUUUUCAACUAUUGUUUGAUCUGAGCAGGGAUUAGGUCUCUUGUUAAUCUUGCGAAUGGCUAAAAUUGGAUCCCUUUGUUGUGUGGCUGCAAGGCCACAUGGAUCAAAUACGCCCAAUAAGGAUUUGUCUGUGGAGUCACAUAAGCCCUAUUGGCGAACUAAUAUAAGCUUUUCACCAGUGCCUUUAAGAUGGGAUUUUGGUUUCCAAUAUGAAGCGCUGUCAUUUGGUUCUUGCGAUGGCGUUCAACUGAGCUCCUCUGCAUCAUCAAACAGCAGAGGAAGAGGAAGUCGGAUGAGUAAAUUCUUAACCCCCCCCCCCCCCCCCCNNNUAUUCUGGGCCAA
rnacentral:lncRNA from 1 species